rfam:Brachypodium distachyon strain Bd21 chromosome 4, whole genome shotgun sequence.
UAGGUUUGUCCUAAGUCAAACUUCUUCAAGUUUGACCAAGUUUAUAGAAAAUUAUACUAAUAUCUAAAAUAUCAAAUGAGUCCAGUAUGACUAUAUAUAUAAUGACAGAUUUAAUAAAACUAAUUUAGAGUUCUAGAUGUCGGUAGAAUUUCCUGUAAGCUUGGUCAAACUUGAAUAAGUUUGACUUAGGACAAAACUAG